UAUACGAUGAAGAGUUUGAUCCUGGCUCAGGAUGAACGCUAGCGGCAGGCUUAACACAUGCAAGUCGAGGGGUAUGGUUCUUCGGAACCAGAGACCGGCGCACGGGUGCGUAACGCGUAUGCAAUCUACCUUUUACAGAGGGAUAGCCCAGAGAAAUUUGGAUUAAUACCUCAUAGUAUAAUGACUCGGCAUCGGGAUAUUAUUAAAGUCACAACGGUAAAAGAUGAGCAUGCGUCCCAUUAGCUAGUUGGUAAGGUAACGGCUUACCAAGGCUACGAUGGGUAGGGGUCCUGAGAGGGA
rnacentral:rRNA from 1 species